AACCACUUAAAACGCCUAAAUUACUGAAUACCACAUGAACGAACACAGAAAUCAGCUUGCACAUCAAUUACACACCAUCACCAUUAACAUGAUCCGGAAUCGAACAGAAACAAAGACGCAUACACCAUACGAAACAACCUCGAGAUCACGUUGAAACCUUACGAAUGAACAAACAUACACUCAAUUCAGACGCGAAAGAACUCACCAUCGGCGUCGGAAGAAUCUCCCUCGGUGGCAUACGCGUGAAAUUGAGAAAUUCAAUUUUGCUUAGGGAAAAUGUUUAUGUCCGUUCUUCAAUUGUCGAUAUUAUUUUGAGAUGAUGAUGUAUGAUGAAGAGUGAAGCGAGUUGAAUUGUUGUUAGAAGUGGUUUCGAUGAAUCCCAAUAGAUGAAGGUGAAGGUCUCCUUCAGAUCAAUCGCGAAUUGAUGCGGUUCAGUUGUGUAGGUUAGUUCAGGUCCUGAUUUGUUAUGUCCAUUUGAUGGCUUUGUGUUGUAUUAUGAUUUUUAUUGCAUGGUGUUUUCGUUGCUUUGGCUUGUCGUGCAAAUGGUUUUACAUUGGCUUGGCAUUGGAUGCAAGGAGUUACUUGGAUGCAUUGCUCGGAAUUGCUUGCGUUUUGGAGUGUAGGAUUGUUGUAAUUUUUGUAACUCUUAUAGUUUAAACUUAGGGAUUUAUGGUUAUAAUUUGUGUGUUGGAAAAUGGAUGUGAGUGUAUGUGAUUAUAAUUGAUAUAAUGGAAAUGUGAAUGCAUUUGGAAAUUUGAAAAUUGAAUGAUGGUUUGAUUUA